rnacentral:rRNA from 1 species
UACGGAGGGUGCAAGCGUUGUCCGGAAUCACUGGGCGUAAAGGGCGCGUAGGCGGCUCAUGAAGGCUGUGGUGAAAGUCCGGGGCUCAACCUCGGAUCGGCCGUGGCGACUCGUGGGCUGGAGCACUGUAGAGGCGGGUGGAAUUCCGGGUGUAGCGGUGGAAUGCGUAGAGAUCCGGAAGAACACCAGUGGCGAAGGCGGGUCUCUGGGCCGAUAUUGACGCUGAGGAGCGAAAGCGUGGGGAGCAAACAGG